CUUGCUGGUGUCUGUAUUAUAGAAGUGGACCGUUUAGUUAUGACUCUGAAUAAAGAUGUGAUGGAGUUCCUGAUUGUGGAGAAGUUCAUGCUACAGACUUCUUGAGUGCAUGAGACGUUGGCGCUUGCCACAUCGCUUAACUUUCAUUCGGGGGAUGGAUCAGGUAAUUUAUGGAUUGUACCGUUUUUGAGCUCUGAUGUUUUAAUCAUAUGACUGACAGACCAUGAGGCUAUGAUGUCAGUCAGGAUACUGAGCUCUUAUUAAUGCCGGGUUUUUAGGUUUAUUAUAUUGAAUAGUUGUUUAUUCUCCAAGUGUCGUUUCAGGUUUUGAACGUUUCAUGGCACUAUACCUACCAAUUUGGCUGUAGCGUUGUAUUGAGCAGACUUCGCUUAUUUGUCCCUCUGGAUUGGAAUAGUUUCUGGUGCCCUUGUCGUGGGUUCCGUGCCCCGGUUGGGUAUGGAGGUCGGCUAGUGGCUUCGUUUCGUUGUUGGGGUUGUCUUGAUUCAGAAUCUCCUGUGGCGAUUUGAUGUCGGGUUUUCGUUGGCGGUCUGUGUUUAUUACAUCGUACGGGUGCAUCGGUCUCAUGUUUCCGCCGGAUUGUUCCAUUUACGCCUUAGUUGUGCAGCAUGUUUUUAUGAUGGUGCUUAUUCCAUUGUGUGCGGUCGUUAAUUGUUAACGGUUGUUCCCGUAGCUGUCUGGUAAUUAAAUUCUUUCCUUUAUUCUUAGUUGUACUGGUGGUUACGCUGCUUCACGCAGUGGGGUUACGUGUGUGGCCGUGUAACAUUCUUUACCCUUUGUUGGGUUUGAGGGUUUCAUUUAUUAUUGCCGUGAUGAGUUGCUUAUUGGUCCGUGUUUAUGAUUGGAUGAUUUUAACUAUACAGUAAGCUCUGAUGAAGUGUGUUGUUUGUAUUGAAAACUUGUGCAGAGCUUAGUACUGUUCUGUCGGAUUGUGGUCCAGAACAUUGGCUUUGGGAUACCGACAUCGCCCACAGUCUUCUGGAUAAAUUUGAUUGACAAGAAGAAAGAUUGAAAGAUUGACAUUCGUGUUAGAAACUCUUAGUAAACAAUUCUUCUCAAUACAAAAGUGUUACGUGAA